GGGGAGAUAACUUCAGGGGAGAAAACCUCAGAAAAGCUGCAGGGUCAAGCCCUGCAGCUCAUAGGUCCAGAGGGAAGAAACGAGCCCCUAAAGACGGACCAAACAGAAGAGAGAGGCACAGAGAUGCAGAUCUCCCUCCUCCACCGACGCCCCCCUCCUCCACGGAUGAUGACUCCCUGCAGCUCUUUGUGGAUGUUUUGAGCCGCAGACCAACAGACAACGAGCCAAAGGCGGGUGGCGACGACCCCACUCUUCCAAAGAGGAGAGAACAUUUCUCCUCCCAAAGGGGGUCGCCAACAAAAUGGUUAUCAGAAGGUAAAAGGCCUCAUACGGUCCAAUUCAGUUCACUUCAGUUUAUUUAUAUAGCACCAAGUCACAACAGAAGUCAAC